AGUACAUGCUUUCAUACAUCUCCUCUCUAAUAAGCUAGUAUUGAAAUAUUUUGUGAAAAUUUUUCUGUGAUGCUCUCGAAAUGCUAGCUAGGGCGGUUCAGUGUUAAGGAGUGGACAGUGGAAUAAUGGAAACAUUGUGGCUUAGGCCCAUUUGGCUAGGUCUGUUGAUGGCUCUCAACGAUUUUGCGGCAAGAGAUGUAGCCUAGCCUAUGUAGCUAUUUCGGCGGAGUCGGUUUAUAUAAAUUUGUUUCGAUGCAUCAGUUGAAUAGAAUGUUAGCGAAACAGUGUGAGAUUGUAAUUUGGCUUCGUCAGUUAUUUACAACUUUUAUAUUCAAAUUGAUGCAUUUGACGCAUUUGAGGUGUUAGGUAAUUGCUAGUCUGAGGAGUCUGGUUUACAGUAGGCGUAUCUUGACCCUGCAACUCAGACUGCUGUCGACUGAGGAGGAAAAAGGAAUAUAUUUCUAGAGACUUGUAGCCAUGGGGAUUAAAUUUCGUAAGGAGUGGGAUGUCAUAACUGGACAAAACUAUCUUCAUCCAUCUAGUCUCGUCUUGGCAUGAAAAUGUUCAGACAUCAGUUGGACCACACUGAAUCAAGAAUCAUGAAGAGUUUUUAUUCAAUCACUGAAUAUCUUGAGCAGAUAAUCUCUGAACCACCUUGAAAUUGUGCCACGAGGUAGUAGUUUAGUUAUCUAGUUAUUAGGGUGAAGGAGACAUAACCACUUAACACUAUAUGCGUAUAUGUUAACAUUUUCAUUGUUACAAAUGCUUACGUACAUGCACUUAUAAACUGAAAAGAAAAAAAUGCUAAACCUUAUGAGCUGUUAUUCAAAUUGAGAAGUGAAUGAAAACUAAAAAUCACAAGGCUCAACUUUAGUGCUAUGAAGGGUUCCUUCCACAGUCACAAUUUAUGUUCCACUUCUAUUUAUGUUGUGCCUGUAUCAUCUCAUCUUGAGGAAUCUCCAAAAUCUAUGUUACAAAGAUGGAACUAUGACUGUCAGUCAGAAUCAUUGUCACUGAAUCUCCCCAUUAAGGGCUCUACAACUGUCACAACAGAUUCCUCAUCCCUGACAUCAACAAUGGAAAGAGGUGCUCAUCCACAACUCGAAGGGUUACGUGGCCAGUACCCUUGAUAGGUACAUGUAUGCUAUUUAAUCCUAAAUGGGAACCAUUUGUUCAUCCUUGGACAACUUACUCCUACAAAGCCCAAAAACACAUUGUUUCCACUUGGAAUUUUCCCAAAAGGAGCAACACUUGAGUGUUAUGCAUGACAUUGUACAGUCCAAAAAGUCUUUGCAGUGUUAAGAAUAUUUAAAUGCUAUAAUAAUUAUGAUCUGCUAUAAAUAAAGUUAGCUUAGAUUUAGUGGUUAUAUGUCAGCAGGAUGAGGAUCUUAGAAAAAAUAUUCAUCAGUGAAUGAAGAACUUGCUCCCCAAACAAAGGUACCAUAUAUCCUCUUGGGAGUUUCCCCAAAAGUGUAUGGUGAUUUACCAGACUCCUCGAAUAUUUGGCUCGGCACUGAAGAUAUCUCAAGAUUCACUCCAGUCUCAGAAUCUAGUAGUAUUUUCUUGAAACUUCUUACUAGAGUUAAAUUCCCAGUAAAAUCUAUUAUUUUCUAUUAUUCAGUCACACUAAAACUUUAAAAAUGAACCACUUAUUGAAUCCCUCACUUCCAUUCAACAACGAAUCUUUACAUUGUUGACCCCUUUCUUCAGUCUGAUAUUUAGUCUCUCUCUCUCUCUCUCUCUCUCUCUCUCUCUCUCUCUCUCUCUCUCUCUCUCUCUCUCUCUCUCGAGCUUUUAUUCCUUUUCUCCCCCUGCAGGAGGGUAGUGCCAUCAUUGUGUUACAUGCAAUGCAUUGUAGGCAUUAGUUAGGUUCUUGCAGCCUCUAGCUCCAACCCCAUCCAUUUCAUUGAUUUAACUUAUCUCCAUUCAUAUUCUCUUUUUUUCCAUCUUACUUUCCACCCUCUCCUAACAAUUUAAAUGUAAGCCCACCCCCCACCCCCGUUACACCUUUGAAACCACCUUUACUCUCAAUUUUCCGUUGAGCACUGAAAGACUUCAUAGGCCUUUGGACCAAUCUUGUAUUCUAAUUGCAUUUCUUAUUCCCUUUUACCUUCCUUGGCUCUGCUUCAGUAGAGGCUGCUGUACUGUUUUCAAAAUGUUAAUUGUUACGAAUCCCUAAAUAGUCUUUGCAAAUAUAUGUUAUUAGUCUUGAAAAAUAGUGUUAUGUCAUGUCAAUAAUCCUUUACUAGUUGUUGCAAAUGUUAUUUGGGCUUGAAAAGUAGUGUUAAAGUCAUAUCAGUCCAAUUAAGUUAGUCAGCAAUUUGUAUGUUUUGAAGUAAUUUUUUGGAAUUUUACCCAGCUUUAGAGCUAAUGUUUGAUGUUAAUUUUUUCAAUUGUGCCCUGUUAACACCGUAGUUUUGUGAUACAAGUUACUGCUGAACUUUUAUCCCAGUAGUGUACAGUACUAAGAUGCUAAUGAAAAUAGGACUGUUGUAAUUUUAAAGUAAAUAUCAUUAGUUUUGCCGUAAGAUCUCGACUGUUUCCAAAGUGUCAAGAGUUAUACACUUAUAUGUUCUGCGAAUUCAUGUAAUUUCAAAUGCUUCAGAAUGUGUUAAGUGACUGUUGACAAGUAAGUACUUUUGGUUUACCUCCCAAGUUUAACAAGAUUAACGUCUAAAGGUAAUUUAAUCUUUUUUCUUUUUAUAAAUGAAAAGUUAUAAGCUUUAAA